ACGGAGACACGCAAUGACGUAGACACGCACAAACGCACGCAGGCCCUGGCCAGUAGGAGACGUUGAUGGACUCACCGGGCCCUGAGCCCCGAGGGACGACCGGGCCAAGUCCGGAGCUAGAGACCAGCUGCCCGGAGCAGUGAGCUGCACCUCCGCUCUCCUUGUGGAAGCUCCAGGAAACGGGAAUGCUGGCCGUGAGGUGAGGUGAGGAAGUCCUUGCCAUGUCUACCACUGCUCUUUGCGGUGACCGUACCCCCAGGACGUCGCCUCCUCUUCGGAGCCCACAGGACCUGCUCAGAGUCGGCCUCCCUUUCUCGUCCGCCCUGGGCAGCACCCUUCAGAACCCCCUGCCCCCGAUGGCCUUUCUGAGCAGUUGCCUUGGCAGUUUCUUAUCCUUCACCCCUCCAAUGACCUCUGUCCAUCCAGCCCUCCCGGCUCCAGCUGUGCCCUGGGCAUUUGCCGCCACCGGGCCUCUCAGCGCUCACCACCCUGGUGCUGCAGACCCUCUCUGUGGCCCAGAUGUUCUCCUGCCUAGCCCAUCCUUUCUGCUCAGUGUGAUUUCUCUACACCUCUCCCCUCUGAGCCUGUCACCUGUUCUGUUCUCCUCACUUGUCAAGAGGUGCAAACUGCACCACGGAGAAUGCUGCCUCCCGCACCCCAUGUGCUUCUCUGACUUUGAGGCCCAGAGAAGGUUCCAGUUUGCCCCUGCUGCAUGUUUUGUGGCACCACCGGUCUGGGACCGGCUUGACCCAAACUCCCAGUUUCCCUCAUACGCUUCUCAGCAGGUCCGGUUUCCUCCUCUCUGAAAUGCCUUCUGCCCGUCUUGCUGUUGAUCUGCUGGUCUUUUUGGUUCAGAGUUGUGGGAGCUGAUUUUGAAGACUGGAUGUGACACUCCAAGUCCACAGGAAGAAGCUGCACCACAAGGAACCUGCAGACGUGGGCGGGCUACUUUGACGCCACUGGUUAGGUGUGGUGCCUGCACACAGAACGUGGCCCAGCAGAGUUGGAACCUUGGGAGUUUCCGUGGACUUCCGGAAACCCUCCUCACUUGCAUUCAUAUCACAAGCCAAUAAAGCACCUUUAACUGGGGGGCGGGGAGACGCUCAUU